AACACUGUUAACCUGCGGUACCUGCGGAGGGAUCAUUACCGAGUUUACAACUCCCAAACCCCUGUGAACAUACCUAUACGUUGCCUCGGCGGAUCAGCCCGCGCCCCGUAAAAAGGGACGGCCCGCCCGAGGACCCCUAAACUCUGUUUUUAGUGGAACUUCUGAGUAAAACAAACAAAUAAAUCAAAACUUUUAACAACGGAUCU
rnacentral:misc_RNA from 1 species